UAACUGCGAUAAGCAAUGCGAAUUGCAGAAUCCGCGAGUCAUCAGAUUUUCGAACGCAGCCGGCGCUGUGGGUCAAUUACCUGCAGCAUGUUUGUUUCAGUCUUGUUGAUUAUUACACAUCAAAAUGUGAUUGAACUUCGGUUCUCUCAUUGAAUCUGAAUACGACGUAUUUCCAUCCAACGGAGCAGUCACAGUCUCUGACAGUGAUUUCGUUGGCUCUGGUGCUACGAACAGUGUAGAGACGCAGGUCUUUCAAAAUAAUCUAAAGCUGAAAUCAAGCAGGACUACCCGCUGAACUUAA
rnacentral:misc_RNA from 1 species